AUAGUUAACGACACUGACGCGUGGAAGGCCAAAGCCCAAAAGCUAACUAAAUAGAGCCUUUCUAGUUGAGAACCAACGAAUCCCACAUCGUCUAGUUACACAAACCUUUAAGUCUUUAUUAGAAGGAAGGAGGCAGAUAAGCUUGUCCCUUCGGGGACAUCCGAUAAAAUUGGAACGAUACAGAGAAGAUUAGCAUGGCCCCUGCGCAAGGAUGACACGCAUAAAUCGAGAAAUGGUCCAAAUUUUUUUUCUUUUUUAAAUCCAAUCGCCCCCCUUCUUGCUCAACAGUUUACUUUUAAAUAAACAGUCAAUCUGCUCUUAUGUUAUCAACAACCGUGGCUGCCCACAUCAAUAUAAAGUCCUACCGAGUCAAGUAUCAUAUCAAUUUAAGAGUGCUUUUAACCGGGAUGGUAUUGGAUUUGUUCCGGAAGAAGAAUUGAGUGGUGAUGUUUGCAAUCCUAUUGGUUGGAGGAGAUUUAAAGUCUGCAUUCUCGAGUUGCUAUGUGAAGGAAAAUUAGUUUUAGUUGUAAGUUGUAACUAGUAAGCUUUUCUUAAACGUAGAUAGGAUUUACUUGUGAGGUUUAAAGAAAGAUAUGAGUUUAAAUGAUAACCUACAGAUGACAUUGGCACAAAGAGGAAUGGCAGGGAAAGCAUUGCAAGAGGCAAGAGCCAAGGAGGUGGCUUGUUUGAUUUUUGAUUGCAUUGUUGUGUUUCACAUGGUUUUCUUCUUAAUGUAAAGAAGUGGAGUACCUUGAUAAAAUUUAUUAUUGCCCACUUGCAACUGUUA